rnacentral:rRNA from 1 species
GUGCCAGCAGCCGCGGUAAUACGGAGGGGGCUAGCGUUGUUCGGAAUUACUGGGCGUAAAGCGCGCGUAGGCGGCUAUUCAAGUCAGAGGUGAAAGCCUGGUGCUCAACACCAGAACUGCCUUUGAAACUAGAUAGCUAGAAUCACGGAGAGGUCAGUGGAAUUCCGAGUGUAGAGGUGAAAUUCGUAGAUAUUCGGAAGAACACCAGUGGCGAAGGCGACUGACUGGACGUGUAUUGACGCUGAGGUGCGAAAGCGUGGGGAGCAAACAGGAUUAGAAACCCCGGUAGUCC